rnacentral:rRNA from 1 species
GAACGCUAGCUACAGGCUUAACACAUGCAAGUCGAGGGGCAGCAUGGUCUUAGCUUGCUAAGGCCGAUGGCGACCGGCGCACGGGUGAGUAACACGUACCCAACCUGCCGUCUACUCUUGGACAGCCUUCUGAAAGGAAGAUUAAUACAAGAUGGCAUCAUGAGUCCGCAUGUUCACAUGAUUAAAGGUAUUCCGGUAGACGAUGGGGAUGCGUUCCAUUAGAUAGUAGGCGGGGUAACGGCCCACCUAGUCUUCGAUGGAUAGGGGUUCUGAGAGGAAGGUCCCCCACAUUGGAACUGAGACACGGUCCAAACUCCUACGGGAGGCAGCAGUGAGGAAUAUUGGUCAAUGGGCGAGAGCCUGAACCAGCCAAGUAGCGUGAAGGAUGACUGCCCUAUGGGUUGUAAACUUCUUUUAUAAAGGAAUAAAGUCGGGUAUGGAUACCCGUUUGCAUGUACUUUAUGAAUAAGGAUCGGCUAACUCCGUGCCAGCAGCCGCGGUAAUACGGAGGAUCCGAGCGUUAUCCGGAUUUAUUGGGUUUAAAGGGAGCGUAGAUGGAUGUUUAAGUCAGUUGUGAAAGUUUGCGGCUCAACCGUAAAAUUGCAGUUGAUACUGGAUAUCUUGAGUGCAGUUGAGGCAGGCGGAAUUCGUGGUGUAGCGGUGAAAUGCUUAGAUAUCACGAAGAACUCCGAUUGCGAAGGCAGCCUGCUAAGCUGCAACUGACAUUGAGGCUCGAAAAGUGUGGGUAUCAAACAGGAUUAGAUACCCUGGUAGUCCACACGGUAAACGAUGAAUACUCGCUGUUUGCGAUAUACUGCAAGCGGCCAAGCGAAAGCGUUAAGUAUUCCACCUGGGGAGUACGCCGGCAACGGUGAAACUCAAAGGAAUUGACGGGGGCCCGCACAAGCGGAGGAACAUGUGGUUUAAUUCGAUGAUACGCGAGGAACCUUACCCGGGCUUAAAUUGCAGAUGAAUUACGGUGAAAGCCGUAAGCCGCAAGGCAUCUGUGAAGGUGCUGCAUGGUUGUCGUCAGCUCGUGCCGUGAGGUGUCGGCUUAAGUGCCAUAACGAGCGCAACCCUUGUUGUCAGUUACUAACAGGUUCCGCUGAGGACUCUGACAAGACUGCCAUCGUAAGAUGUGAGGAAGGUGGGGAUGACGUCAAAUCAGCACGGCCCUUACGUCCGGGGCUACACACGUGUUACAAUGGGGGGUACAGAGGGCCGCUACCACGCGAGUGGAUGCCAAUCCCCAAAACCUCUCUCAGUUCGGACUGGAGUCUGCAACCCGACUCCACGAAGCUGGAUUCGCUAGUAAUCGCGCAUCAGCCACGGCGCGGUGAAUACGUUCCCGGGCCUUGUACACACCGCCCGUCAAGCCAUGGGAGCCGGGGGUACAAGAAGUGCGUAACCGCGAGGAGCGCCCUAGGGUAAAACU